rnacentral:rRNA from 1 species
AUGCUUGGAAUAAUCAAUGAAAGGAUAAUUUUUGAAGGUACAGUUCCCGGUCUGUUGACAUUAUAUCACACAUUUUACUUACCCUCACUUCCCAAAUCUUUUCCAUCAACUUUUCUCUAUGCUAUAUUGGCAGUAUCCGCUGGGCAACCUUCAUUGAUCUCUGAUGAUGCGGAUGCUGUUGCUCUUGUUGGAACUAGUAAGGACUUGGCAAAACAGAUAAAUCAGAAGGAAGUGCAUUGGGGGUUGCUUGAAGAUUCAGUGGAGGAGCGUAUGGAGAAAGCACUCUCAGAUUCUGAUAAAACUGAAGCAGACAGCAAGGAUGCAGAUGCAGAAGAUAAUAACAAGAAAAAAUCCUCAGAAGGUGGAAAGCAGGGUGGGUCUCUUACUAAAAAGCUCAAAAAGGAUAAGCUUGUAGGUGCAACAGGGAAAAAUACCAAAUCCGAAACAAGCAUGAUUUCUGCGGCACCUCGUGUGAAACCGGAGCUAACCCUACCAGCGAUGCCUGUUGAAGUUGAACAAUCAAUGCUUGACGACCUAAGAAACCGUGUACAAUUGAAUAACUUGGCAUUGCCAUCUGUUAGCUUCUACACAUUCCUUAAUACACAUAACGGAUUAAACUGCUCAUCGAUCUCAAACGAUGGAUCAUUGGUUGUUGGUGGGUUCUCAGACUCAUCAGUAAAGGUUUGGGAUAUGGCAAAGAUUGGUCAACCCGCCAAAACAUGUUAG